AAAAUUGUUGCCAUGGCACUUUCUGAAAAAUAGGCAAAUACAGGUUAAGGCAGUUUUUUUAUUAGUAUGUACAACUAAAUGCAUAAAACAUAGAUACUUUACCACUUUCUCAAGAGAUCAGUCUUUCACCUUUCCUAUAAUGCCAAAAUUAAAUCUAAAAUGAAGUAAGGAUGCUAAAUAAAGUUGGAAAACCUUCCCCUACCCCUGGAAAAUGACCGAAAAAAAUGCUAAAUUCAUCAAAAAGACCUUAUUUUAACAAGUCAAGUUGUAUAGCCUAUUAUAUUUGUGUCUGUUACUAGAUUAAAAC
rnacentral:lncRNA from 1 species